rnacentral:lncRNA from 1 species
UAUUAACCAUUUUUAUACAGUCCAUUCUAAUUUUCUUUCUCCUUGCCCUCUCCUGAAAACUUUGCAGUUUACCAAUAUCCUUCCUAAAAUAUGGUACCCAGAAAUGAUCCCUGUAUUCCAGAUGUGGCUUGAUAAAGGCUGAGUACAAGAGAGAAUUUCUGCGAAGAACUGAAGUUCACUAGUCUCUAUUUGACUUAUUUUUCUAUGAAAAUCAGAACUUGUCCCUCUUAGUCCUAUGGCACAUUUUCUUUUGUGGUUUUUGUUUUCGGCCAGGGAGAGAAAGGAGGAAAGUAGAGAUUAUUUUUGAAAUAAAUUUUAUUGAUAUCUUUUUCGAAACAUCAUCUAAAUUCCCCCCUGUAUUUCUUCUUUCCCCAGAGAACCAUUCAUAUAACAAAGAUUUAUUUUUAAGAAGGGAAAAAAAAAGUCAGCAAAACUGAUCGAUACAUUGAAAAAAUCUUAAAACAUACACAAUGUUUUACACCCAUGGACCCCCUACUUCCCCACCUCUGCAAAAGAGUGGGGGUAAGGUGUCUUCUUAUAGUUCUUCUCUGGGACUAAACAUGUUUUCUUUGUAAUUUUGCAACAUUCAUUUUUGGUUCUUUUAUGGUGGUUGUCCUUUCCAUUUCCAUUGUUGUACUCGUUACGAUAUUGUUUUUUGGGGUCUGUUUUCUUCACUCUGUAUCAGUUCAUAUAAAUCUUUCCAUGUUGCACUGUAAUAAUUAUAUUAUUUCUUACAGCACAAUAACAGUCUAUUACAUUCAUAUACCACAAUUUAACCAUUCUCCCACAGAAAGGCAUAUACUUUGUUUCUAGUUCUUUGCUAAAACAAAAAGUGCUACAAUAAAUAUUUUGGUGCAUAUGAAGCCUCUUUUUAUCAAUGACUUGUUUGGGGGUAUAUACUUAGUAGUGAAAUCUCUGAGCUAAGAAUACAGACAUUUUAGCCACUUUAUUUUUCUAAUACCAAACUGCUUUCCAAAAUGAUUGCACUAAUUCACGGCUUUAUCAACAAUGUAUUCGAAUAGUUUAUCUUUUCACACCCUUCUAACAUUUAUUAUUCUUGUCUUUUGUUAUCUUUGCCAACUUACUGGGUGUGAACAAUGAAACCUAAGAUUGUUUUGAUUUACAUUUCUUUUAACUGUAGUUUGCCAUUUUUUUCAAAUAGUUGCAAAUAUUUUGUAAAUCUUUUGAAAACUGUAUCCUUUCACCAUUUAUAUACUGGAAAUACUUGUUCUUAAAUAUUUGUUGUUAGUUCUAUGUUGACUACCUAAUCCUUAACAGAGAAAUUGGAUACAAAUAUUGUUUCUCAUUUGACCAUUUCUCUUCUUAUCCUAAGUGCAUUAAUUUUAUGCAAAAGCUUUUCAAUUAUAUGUAAUUUAUCUAUUUUAACUUUUAUAAUUGUCUCUAGUCCUUUUCUGGUUAAGAUAACAUCUCCUAGUCAUAGAUGUAAAAAGCAUAUGAUUGGUUUCUUCUCUAAUCUUCAUGGUAUUUUAAUGAGCUCUGGCAACUUGAGCAAUCAUACACUCCAUUCCCUCCUUACCUUAGGAUGGAAUUAAUGUGGUCCUCUUAAUUCUAGUGCCUUCCCUCUGUCAGUUAUUUCCUAUUUCUCCUAUAUAUAGAUAUUUGUACAUUUCUGUUUGCAUGUUAUCUCCUUCCCUCAUUCGACUGUGAACUACUGGAAAAUAAGAGACUGUCUUGCUUUUUCUGUGUAUUCCCAGUACUUAGAAUACAGUACUUAGAGUACAUUAAAUACAGUAGGCAUUUAAUGAAUAAUUAUUGAUUGAAAAAAACUGAAUUCAUCAAAAAUAACUAGGGGCUCUCUAUUUUCCUACUCAUAAAUAAAAGGUAUAAAUCUUUAAAGAAAACAAAAAAGACAGACGUCAGCUGGGCUACAUAGAAUCAGCAAUGGACGAAGAGGAAAUGAGGACAAUUGCCAGCACAGAGAGAUGGGAGGGGGCUGGUAGGGUGGGGGGAAGGAGGAAGGAGACAAGAGACAGCUGGAGGUGGGAAAAGGGAGAUGAGGGAGCAGGGAGGAAGGGAGAGACAUGGAGGAUGGAAGAAAUCUCAGGAGGAUAGGAAUGGUCAAAUACUAUUUCCAAUUAAAAAACAAAAAUGAAAAGGAAGAUUUAGGGAUCUAUAAACAAAUAAGCUUGACUCUUGUCCCUGAAAAAGAAGUGUUUUUUAGAGUAUUUAGAAAACAAGUAGUAACCAGCAUAGGUUCACUAAGAGCAAAGUCUCAUUUCCUUUUUCUUUAAAAUUAACAGAUACUAGUUUUGUCUUCUGAGGCCAAAGAAAAUAAGUCUAACUCUUCUUUCAUAUCACACAGUCUUUAAAAUACUAAAAGACAAUUCUCAUGCUCUCAUUGUCCUCUGUUCUGAGUCAUGAGGAAGUGUCUUCCUUUUUUUGAUAACUGUAGGUUGGAAUAUUGAGCCUAUCAUGUGUUGUGACUUUAGUAUAUCUUUGUGCUGACUUUAAUAGUAGGUGUAGAGGCAGUAUAUAUUGCAUGCCUGAAAUGCACUUCCUAAAUGUCACCUUUUUAAAGUUUUUCCUUCCUGAUUCUCAUCCUCCCAAACUAUCUCAAAUUUAUUCUCUGUAUAUACUUAUAUGCGUACUUAUUUUCUCACGUUAGAAAGCUCCUUGAAAGUAGAUUGUUUCAUUUUUUGUAUUUUUAUCCCUGUAGCCUAGCAAAAUGCCUGGCACAAGUAGAUGCUUAAUGUUUGUUGAUUAACAGAUAAAAGCUUAUCGUCAUCCCCACUGAGCCUUGCACACACACAAAAAUCAGGUUGUAAAAAAAUUCUCACCCAUGGGAUAUAGGGAAAUUUGCCUCUUUGAGUUCAUGUGAAAAAGGGGUUGGGGGUUUGUCUACAAGCUCAGUGAGGGGAUACUGAUAUAUUUGCCUAAACAGCUAAUGCAAUACUAAGCUGCAGUAAUAGUUGAUAUCAGUUCUCAUGGUAUUUUGUGUUAGUCUAAUUACAUCUGGAGUAUUGUAUUUAGAUUUGGGCAUUACAGUUUAAUGAUGUUACCAAAGAAAGCACAUAGUGGAAAGAUGAAAAAAAAUCUAUCACCCUAUCCUUCAAUGUCCAAUUGACUUUGUUGUGCUUUUUCUGGAUUCAGAGUUGCUCCUUGCCCAUGAAAAUACAAACUAGGAUGAAUCUGUGGGCUCAUUGAUGAAGAUGCUUCCUCUAAGAAAGAUCACAGCUCAUCCCUGCCUGUCCUUCCAGUACAAUUCUUGUAGGCUAAUCCAUGUCAUCCAUUAGCUCAUCCAGGGGGAGAAAGGGAGUGUUAGUUACCCAACAUGCUGCUGGGAACCCUCCUUUCCUUUUGACAUUUGAAGGAAACUAGUGGUUUCUCUGUAAGUCAUAAACUCCAGGCCAAUUAAGCUUAGAGAUGAGAUGACAUGGAAUUGGGGUGGUGGGGCACAAAAAUGAGGCUGCAGAGAGAAGACCUGAUAUACAGGGUGAUAUAACUUUGCAAAGUGCCUUAUACCACAAAGCAACACUGUUCAUAUAUUAUCUCCAUUCAUAGGGCAAUGUGCCCUAGUGGAAAGAACACUGCAUUUGGAGUUAAUUUCUGGUCCAAUCUCACCUCUGUGAUCAUGGGUAUUUUAUGUCACCAACUCAGUGGGAAUCAAUUUUCAUCUCUGCCAUGAGACUGUAUUGGACCAGAUGGCCUCUGGUGUUUCCAGCUCUAAUGAUUCUAUAAGGAAACUGAGGCUUGAAAUACAGCUAGGAUGAGCCCAAGGUGGGAUUCAAAGUGAGAUUUUCCUCAAUCUGAGUCCAGAGCUCUAUUCUGCUCUACCAGGCUAUGCUAUAUUUCCUAAUCAACAGCAUUAAGUAUUUAAAAAGUUGUUUGUUGGAAAAGGAUUCAGCUUUUUUCAGUUUGGUCAGGUGGCCCACAGAAUAAAACACUGGACUUGGAGUCAGAAGACCUGAAUUUGAAUCCUACCUCAAAUACUUGUUGCUUAUGUGACAAUGAAUAAACCACAAGAUCUCUUUCAGUAUGUUUCCUUAUCUGUAAAAUGGGAAUAAUGGGACUUGUCUAUAAGGGCUAUUAUGAUUAACAUGAGAUAACAUGAAAAGGGCAGAGUAAACCUGGAAGAGCUUUAGAAAAGCUAGCUCUUAUCUCCCGCGGCUCUUAGUUCUUCUAUUAGGACUAAAUGGUGGAAGUUAUGGAGAGGCAAAUGUAUGCUCAAAAUAUAGACCUAAAGUCACGCAAAUAUAAUUCUUUGUGACUUAGGGAGAUGACAACGGCUUUCAGGUAUUUGGAAAUUUUCAUCUGGAAGAAGAAUGCUAUUGAUUCUUCUUGCUCUACAGGAGGAAAUUAUGAGCCGUGACAAACAGUGGUUUAGAAAUUCCUAACAAAACUAUAAAAAAAAAACCUGGUUGCCUUGUCUCUCCCCUUAUUGCCCCUUGAAGUCUUUAAGUAGAAGCAGGAUGGCCACUUUACUGGAGAUGUGAAGAAGAGAUUCUUUUUCAGGGGCAAAUCAGACUAGAUGGCUAGAUACAGAUUAAAAAAUGAUAAAUGAACAGAAUUUUCAGUCUUAAUUAUUCCAUGAUAUUAGAAAUAUUGGAAAAACUCACUUUCAGAGAUUAUGAGUUUUAUUUUGCUAGUUCUUUUGUCAGUUCUACCACAGUAUAGCCUUUUAACUAGAUGGGAUGUCAAACCAGUUAGUAUUAUUUCCAAGCAAUCUAACCCUGGUUUUUCUGUAAUCAAUAUUUGUUAAUUAAAAUGAAUAGAAACCAAGCUUGAAAAUUGUCUUGAUACCAGUCUAUGUUCUUAGGAAACUGGAAAGCUAAGGAGGCAAUCUGAUGGCCCAUAGGACUUGAAUAAAUUGAUCUCUCUUGGACAUGGGUUUGAUUGGAGAUUCCUCAAGGUUAAAUUCCAGAGGGUGGAGUAAAAUGAUAUUUAGACAAAACAAGGUGGGUUUUGAUAAGACAAGAUAUAAAGUCCCUGAGAAUGGAAAGACCAUUUUGAACUAAAAAGUGGGAAGAUCAGCAAAGGCUUCAGGGAAGAGGUAGCAUAGCAAUGGAAUUGAAUCCUUAAAGCCGGAUUUUAUUUGGUGGUACCAAAGAGAGACCACAUGCCAGGAAUGGAAGAUGGUCACUUUCUAAGGAGGGGGCAGAAUAAUAGAGAGGAAUGUUAACUUGAGGGGGAAUAAAACUUGAAGGGCCUAAUUUGACUAAAAUAUGUAGUAUGUGAAAGAGUAUGAUAUACACCUGGAAAGAUAAGCAAUAGCCAAUUUGUGGCAAGUCAUUAAUGGCAAGCAAAGGAAUUUAUUUGCUUUUUAUCCUAUAUGGGACUAUUGAAGAUUUUUGAUUUUAAAAUAAGAUAAGUGGUAUGAUCAGACCAACACAUAGAGAAUGACAGAAACCACUAUAAUAUUUUAAUGUUUACAAAGUGCUUUUCUUACCAUAACUUAUAAGGCAGGUAAACUAAAUAGUAUCCCUAUUUUACAAGCUUAAAUGAUGUAUACCGGAGCAAACUUUGAAUCCACAUCUUCAGACUCCAAAAUCUGACACUUUUACUAUACUAUACAAUAGCAGAUAGACUCAAAUUGAAUGGCUAACCUCAUGAAAUGUCUUCCAGUAAAAGCUUAAAUGUAUGUUGCUAUAGAUGGCUUCCAAGAUCUUUCCUAACUUUUCUGGGACUAUGAAUGGUGAGAAACUGGAAGUGUACAGACAGGAAUUAGGAAGAUGUUAUUACAGCAAUCCAGGUUCUGAAAUUAGGCAGAACAACUUUUGGUAAUAGUAGAGGUAGACACAAGCUGGAGAGAGAACUGAUAGUACAUGUUAGAAAAUGGUUGGACAGGAGGAGAAAAAUGACAGACGACCUCCUGGAAAUCAAGCAGAGGAAUGAAAGGAAAAAGCUGAGAGGAAGAACAGGAGAGCUGAGGCAACUAUAAAUGUUAUAGUGCAAUGACUAUUGAACCUGGAGUCAAGAAAGCCUGAAUUCAAAUUCAGCUUCAGAGAUUUAUUAAUUGUAGGACCCUGGAAAGCCACUUCACUUCCAUCUGCUUCCUUUUCCUCAUUUGUAAACUGGACAGAAUAGCAUCCACUUCUCAGGGAAACUGGUAGGAUCAAAUAAAAUAUCUCUAAUGCACUCUUACAAAUUUAAAGUGCUAUAUAAACACUAUCAUCAGUAUCAUGAUGAUAAAUGCUAUCAUCAUCAGCAUCAUCAGGUUUUAGUUCUGAUACUGUUGAACUUGAGGUACAAGUGAGACACACGGGAGGAGACGUUUUAGUAGUUAAAGAUGAAAGACGAUGUCUGUGGAGAGACUGACUCUACAUAUGUAUUUGGAGAUAAUUAUAUCCACAAAAUGCAGCGACAUAAAAGAAAGACCACAUGUUCUCUCCCUUGGGACAAACAAUAAGUUUUUCAGUUGAAUUAUUUAAAACUGGCAUUACAGCAUUAUUUGAUUUAUGGGAUCAAAUUUGAAAAUGAUCGUUAUGGGUUAAAAUGAUAGGCCAACUACCCCUAAAAUAAAAUUUAAUAGAUAUAAAGUUUUAUAAUUGAAUCUUCUAAAAUACAGGUUAGGGGAGAUGUGGCUGGGCAAUGGGUGUUUUAGUGCUCUAUAAUCUUAAAAUUAUUUUGAAGGAUUACAUGAUGAUCCCCAAAUCUUAUUAUAGAGACCCAGUGUAAUUUAUUAAAAUACUCUGGUAUCUCUGCCUUCAUAAAUUCUAGUAAAUUGGAUUGGAUUUGUCAGAAUAAAUUUAACAGAAGGGGAAGGAAAGGGAAUAAAUAUUUAUAUAGUGCUUAUUAAACGUGAAACACUCAUUAUACUGUUAUCUCAUUUGAUCCUCAAAACAACUCUGGGAAGUAGGUGCCAUUACUAUUCUUAUUUAACAGUUGAGGAAAAUGAGGUAACCAAGUUAAUGACUUGUCCAGGUGACACAGUAAAUAACUUAGGUCAGAAAUGAUUCCAGGGCUGUGAUACAAAGACCAAAAUUGUUAUAGGCCAGAACUUGAAACAAGGUGGUAAAGUCAGUGGAAUUGAUAGAGACAAUGGUUAUUUAGCAUGGUGCUUAACAGUUCUUUAGUUCAGUCAGUACACGUACUUAGUACUUACUAUAGUUGUACAAGAUUCACACUUUUGAUAAGAGACCAUAUAAGCUCGGACAAACUCGGCCAGAAUCAGAACAAAGGAAGACCAGAGAAAUGGUGGUAGGCUCUUCUCCUUCACUUCUCCACUGAAACCAAGACCUGGAAGGCUUCUAAGAAAACUAGCUGAGCCCCAAGUGAAAGACAAGACAAGAGAGCAUAUAUAAGCUAGGAACCUCAGCCAGGAUUCAGUUGGGGAGAUUCAGAAGCCAGAGAAGGCAGGUGGGAGCUCAAGUUCUCAGAACCAAAACCAUACUGAAAGGCUCUCCAGAAAGCUGCCCAGCCCCAGGAAGGAGAUAAUAAAGGAUCUGGACUAUUAGAAAGCUAACCAGGCUGCAGGAAAGGAGACAAGACUUGGGAAGAGACAUUAAAGGAUUUGGACCUUAAUCCCUGACUGCACUUGUGAUUACUGAACUGAAAGGAAGGCUGCCUCCACAGACUCCAACAAACCCCAACAAGAGAAUAUUACAUUUUAGAGAGAAUAUUACACAAAAUGGCAACCCUGUGUCCACAAAGUGCUUACAUUCUAACACAGGAAACAAAGGGGACAUACAGACGUACCAGAAAUACACAAAGUAAAUGAAUAUAAGCUCCCAGGAAGUUGGGGAGGCACUAAGAAGAUCCAACAAAGUCUUAUGGACAAGAUGAUCUUGAACUGUGCUUUGAAAGAAGCAAGGGAUUCUCAAAGGCAGAGAUGAGGUGGAAGAGUACUUCAGGCAGGAGACAACAGUCUGUGCAAGGUCAGUUUGAUUGGACCCCAGAGUAUAUGAAAGGGAGUAUAUAAUGCUGGAAGGGCAAGAUCAGAGACUUCAUUGUGGUGAGGGGCUUUAAAGGCCAUACAGAAGUUUGUAUUUGACUCUGGAGGUCACAGGGAUCCACAGUUUAAUUAGUAUCCUGUGUUUCAGGAUAUAACUUUAAGGAAGGAGGAGUGAGGAAGGCAGAGUCUCAAAGCAGAGAGAAAAAUGAAGAGUAUUCUGCAAAGCUUGAACUAGCAUGAUGGCUGUGUGAGUGGAAAGAAGAGGUCAAAUGCUGGAAAUGUUUCAGAAAUAGCAUUCCCUACUUGGGUUAGGUCAAGUAAUACAUCACUCUUCUGACCUUUUUAAAAAAAAAUCUUGGUUAGAACUUUCCACCAUUAAACCAUUCCCACAUUUCAAAAAGUCCAAAAAGAACAAGGGCAGUUUUAUUUCAUUAUUUCCAAAAUAAAAAUGUCUUCCAUGGAAUUUCCUUAAGACUUUCUGUAUCCCUUUUCACAAAUGCUUAAGUUUAAUACUAUAUAAUAUGUUACCACAUUAACUUCAUAAAUUCUAUUAAAUAUCACAAGCAUCAGAAAUUUAAUUUGAUGUGAAAUUAUUUACAUUUUCAAGUCUGGGUUUCCAAAAAGUUCCUUUUUUUUUUUUUUAAAAUAAAAAUACUGAUAGUCUCUCUCCUCAGUUCCCCAGUGACAGUCCUCCAUCCCCAUAUAAUGGCCUGACAAUGACCUAGGUUCAUGAAGAAAAUCAGAAAAUCAGCAGUGCAAAUUCUGACAUGUCUUAAUGUAAUGGAAAGGCUCAGGGGACUGACUGUCUUCAAAAGCGGCCAAGAGGCUCAUCAACAGAAGGCUGGGCAGCAGGUGACUUUUUUUUUUUUUUUAGUCUGAGAUUUUUAGUCUCAAAAGCUUCCAAAAGAUGUCAACCUGCAUUGGUAGAGGGAGCAGUGACAUUAAUGAAAUAAUCUUUCUGAUAUAUGUAAUUCCCUGUUAAAGUCCCAUUCAUCACCCCUUUUUCCUUGUUCCACUUGUGCUUUGUGAAUGAAGAAGUUAAAAGGAUACUGGCUUUUUUUCCUCCUUACAUGGCAUCAUGAUCUGAAUUUUCUACAAUUCUCACAAAAAUUUCUCUAAAAUUGGUAGCAAGCCGGUGUUACAUCCCAAAGGAAACUGAAGCACCAGACACUGAAUAAGUUGGAGAAGAAGUGGAUGAUCUAGGCACUGUCCUUUCCUAACUGCUGAUAUCAUCACUACUACACAAAAGGAAGCACCCAUACCAACUCAGGAAAAUCAAAUUAAAACCGCAGCUUUCUUCUGUCAUCAUUUUAGUUUUGUGAUUAAAAACAAAAAUAAAAAUAAAACCCCCCUCAAAGUUCCAAAUAAACUAUGAGGAAAUGUUAAGAGAAAAGGGUGAUAUUUAUAAUUAUCCAUUUUAUUUUUAUUCACUAUAGCAACACUUUCAGGAAAGAGUCUUUACAUAAAGGUUUUCUACUUUACAGGCAAAUUGCAAUAUACAGUAUAUACUUUGGACGAAUUAAAAAAAAAAAGACAAAGGGAGAAAUAAACACUCAAAAGUAUUAAUAGUUGUAUUUUUGUCUGUUAGCUAGCAUCAAACUUAAGUCUUUAAAUAAGAAUGUUAUUGGAUUUGGCAUUCUAUUUUUAUUGUGAUUUGACAUCUAAGGAGGCAGUGAAGCAGCUUUAUCACAGCAGUGAUCAAAAGUAUACUGCAUGUUUAUUUAAUGACAAAAUUUAGAUGAUUUUUAAUGUGAGCCUUCCAAAAUGUAUCAAAACUCAUGCUGCCACACUGAAAUAAAAGAGAAUACAUGGAAGGUCGAUUUGAAAAUGCACUUGGAGCAAAAUAUUAAGAAAACAUGAUGUGGGCUCCUCCAAAUUUCAAAAUGCAUUUGAGAUACACAUGCAUGCCAUGGUAUCCACCCACAAAGAAUCCAACCCUUUAGCAGCAUGAAAAAUUAUUAACUUGUGCAGGUUUAUUGAUUCUCAUUUCAAUUGUGUUUCAGGAUCCCAAAGUACAUUCCCAAUGAAUGUGAAAUCAAGGGAAUCUACUGUGCUCACAAAUUGAGAUUGUACAUCUAAGUCUAGCAUACUAGACUAUGGGAAUAUGUGUAAGUGGCAGCUAGAGAAAACAAAAAGAUUCUACAGUAUGCUAUUAAGUCAAAAAUAUAGGAAAACAAAGGAAUAUACAAAGAAAUGUAGGGAAAAAGUGACAUGCGAGGUGGUAUAAUAGUUUUGUUCAGUGCUGUACAGAUGCCUUCAAACAGCAAUAAUUACAGAGAAAUUUAUUUCAAACAAACAAAAAUAGUCAUGUACAACAGGAGGCUUCUUGAUUAGGCACAACUCUAAGCAAUAAAGCUCAUUUAAAGUGCAAAUCUGAUUUUUUUCCUUGUAUUUUUUCACUUGUUAUAAUAGUUAAUAAAGGCUCUCAUCUCUAUUCAAAUAAAUUGAACAGUAGUCUCAUUCUCCUGAAAAUAUUGCACAAAUGAAAAUAACAAAAAGAAAAAUGCAAAUGGGCUUCAGCAAUGAUUGUUAUUUGAAGCAUUCUAAAAAGAUUUAUCUACCUAAUGCUCUAAUCAAUGCUUUUCAAGUCAUCUGCACCUAUUCAAUUAUUUUUAAUUUUCACAAAGGAAAAGGACUAAUCUUUUCCAGACUUUAAGCCCCAAGAGCCUGUCUCCAUUAAUGAACAUUAAGAUAUCUUGUUGAUAGGUCUGAGUACACUAAAAUGACCAUAAUGGACACUAUAUCAGGAACCUGCUAUUAUACUGCUGUUUUUCAGUUAGAAUUUAUGGCAAGGGUAAAGGGAUUUUGUAUGUGUAUGUUUGUUGUUAUCAGGAAGACAUAAAUAUAUGUGGCUGAUAUAUCUUCAAACAUGUGCACAGAAAUGGUUUUCUGACAAUUCAGAAUGAAAGAUGAGUUUAGCAAGCAUGAGGACAAAUUGCAUUUUGUAAUUUCAAGUAAAAAAGAAAGUGAAACAUUUGCCUAUUUUAUUUCCAAAGGGAUAGUUACUUCUCAUCAGUAAAUUAUGGUUAAAGGAAUCAUUGGAAAUACAUGCAACUGAUUUCCUGGCCAUAUUCCCUUUAAUUAAUGGUCAACAGAUACAAAACAAACAAACAAACAAACCCUGACCCAAUAUUUCUGGUUAUCCAAAGCACUUUGUAAUGGUUACCUCUCUUGGAAAAUAUUGCUCCAAGCUGAUGCUGUUACUGGAGAAAUACAAAACAAAAUCUGUAGCCUGAUGGCACUAAAACACCACUAGAUCUAUACAUGCACUAACUUGCAGGGUCCAACAGCUGCCUUGUAAAAGAAAACGAAGUAACUGAGAACAUCUGUCAAAACAGUUUAGUAAAAGACUCUUCCCUCCCCAGUUCUAGUUCUUGUACUAGUCCUCCUCAGUUUCUAAUCACCUUCCAAUGAAUUUGUCACUCAUGCGCACACUCCCAUACAAACAAGAAAGAAAAAAAAAGCAUAGAAAAGCAAAAUCAAAGCACUUAAAGAGUACCAGCUCUUCUCAUGAUAUCAUGGGC